rnacentral:rRNA from 1 species
UUGACCUCGGAUCAGGUAGGAAUACCCGCUGAACUUAAGCAUAUCAAUAAGCGGAGGAAAAGAAACCAACAGGGAUUGCCCCAGUAACGGCGAGUGAAGCGGCAACAGCUCAAAUUUGAAAUCUGGCCUCCGGGUCCGAGUUGUAAUUUGUAGAGGAUGCUUUUGGCGAGGUGCCUUCCGAGUUCCCUGGAACGGGACGCCAUAGAGGGUGAGAGCCCCGUCUGGUCGGACACCGAGCCUCUGUAAAGCUCCUUCGACGAGUCGAGUAGUUUGGGAAUGCUGCUCAAAAUGGGAGGUAUAUGUCUUCUAAAGCUAAAUAUUGGCCAGAGACCGAUAGCGCACAAGUAGAGUGAUCGAAAGAUGAAAAGCACUUUGAAAAGAGGGUUAAAAAGUACGUGAAAUUGUUGAAAGGGAAGCGCCUAUGACCAGACUUGGGCCCGGUGAAUCAUCCAGCGUUCUCGCUGGUGCACUUUGCCGGGCACAGGCCAGCAUCAGUUUGGCGCGGGGGAAAAAGGUUUUGGGAAUGUGGCUCCCUCGGGAGUGUUAUAGCCCAUUGCGUAAUACCCUGCGCCGGACUGAGGUACGCGCAUCGCAAGGAUGCUGGCGUAAUGGUCAUCAGCGACCCGUCUUGAAACACGGACCAAGGAGUCGUCUUCGUAUGCGAGUGUUCGGGUGUCAAACCCCUACGCGUAAUGAAAGUGAACGCAGGUGAGAGCUUCGGCGCAUCAUCGACCGAUCCUGAUGUUCUCGGAUGGAUUUGAGUAAGAGCAUACGGGGCCGGACCCGAAAGAAGGUGAACUAUGCCUGUAUAGGGUGAAGCCAGAGGAAACUCUGGUGGAGGCUCGCAGCGGUUCUGACGUGCGAAUCGAUCGUCAAAUAUGGGCAUGGGGGCGAAAGACUAAUCGA